AUGUUGCACAAGAUGGAAACAGCUAGAUGUCUACUGACAGUGCAGGAGGUUUUUGUACGGCCUCUCAAUGAGUUUGUAUCACUGUGGGUCACUUUUGGUGGAGGAACCAAACUCAUCGUUAACUCCGGCCCCACGGUCAGACCCUCAGUCUCUCUGCUGCCCCCCUCCUCUGAGCAGCUCUCUGGGGGCUCGGCCACGCUGCUCUGCCUGCUGAGCGGCUACUCUCCUCAGGGAGCCCAGGUGAGCUGGGAGGUGGACGGCACGGCGGUGACAGAGGGGGUCCUGAGCAGCUCAGAGGAGGAGAAGAGCGGACGCUACGGCAGCAGCAGCACCUUAAGCCUGAGCCAGGAGAAGUGGAUGAAAGGAGAGCUGUACUCCUGCAGGGUGCAGCAUGAGGGCCAGAGCCAGGUCCAGAGCAUCCGAAGGAGCCAGUGUGAGGGCCAGAGAGGCUGACUGAGGCCCAGAGCAGGAGCUCUUAGUGGGAGAGCAGCAGGAAAAACACCUGCUGCUCUCAUCAAUAGGAGCCUGGAUGAAGACAAACUAAAGCUUGUGUGACGCUGAACUAAACUGCUGAGAAACGUUCAACAACUUAGACUAAUGUGUGAAGCUCAGCAGCUGGAUGUGAGUGGGAUUCAUUUGCUGUGUGUUUCAAUAAAGCUUGCUCUGAUACAUUAUAA